rnacentral:rRNA from 1 species
GCCAGCAGCCAUAUCACCCUGCAAGCCCCAACUGGUAAACCAGUGACGGUAUGCAGGUGUGAGCGUGGUCAGUACCUGGAUGGGGGAUCUCCUGGGAAAACUAAGGUUGCUGCUGGAA